AAAAUGCGAUAACUAGUGUGAAUUGCAGAAUUCUGUGAAUCAUCGAACUCUUGAACGCAUACUGCGCCUUGAGGCUAUCCUCGAGGCACACCUGUUUGAGUGUUGACAAAAUUCUCUAUCCAAUUAAGGGGGUUAUACUUUACGUAUCCCCCUUCUUUUGGGAUUAUGAUGGUGUAGAAGAGCCUAGUCUUUUCAACUCCAUUUAAAUUUAUCGGAAGAGGUUUUUCUUUUAGAAAAAGGACUCUAUAUCUUUGGUUUGAGGAAUCUUAGUAUUCCACUUCUUCCUUAGAUAUUCCGUCCGCUUUUUUUUCUCGAAAGAAUUAUCCCUCUUUUUUCAAAAGGAACAAAAUCAAACUAUAACCAUUCAACCUCAAAUCAGGUGGGAUUACCCCCUGAAUUU
rnacentral:misc_RNA from 1 species